rnacentral:rRNA from 1 species
CCUACGGGUGGCAGCAGUGAGGAAUAUUGGUCAAUGGGCGCGAGCCUGAACCAGCCAAGUAGCGUGAAGGAUGACUGCCCUACGGGUUGUAAACUUCUUUUAUAAAGGAAUAAAGUGAGGCACUUGUGCCUUUUUGUAUGUACUUUAUGAAUAAGCAUCGGCUAACUCCGUGCCAGCAGCCGCGGUAAUACGGAGGAUCCGCGCGUUAUCCGGAUUUAUUGGGUUUAAAGGGAGCGUAGGUGGGGUGUUAAGUCAGUUGUGAAAGUUUGUGGCUUAACCGUAAAAUUGCAAUUGAUACUGGCAGUCUUGAGUACAGGAGAGGUAGGCGGAAUUCGCGGUGUAGCGGUGAAAUGCUUAGAUAUCACGCAGAACUCCGAUUGCGAAGGCAGCUUACUAAACUGCCACUGACAUUGAGGCUCGAAAGUGUGGGUAUCAAACAGGAUUAGAUACCCGUGUAGUC